rnacentral:rRNA from 1 species
CCUACGGGAGGCAGCAGUGAGGAAUAUUGGACAAUGGGCGCAAGCCUGAUCCAGCCAUGCCGCGUGCAGGAUGACGGUCCUAUGGAUUGUAAACUGCUUUUGUACAGGAAGAAACCCUUUCACGUGUGGAAGAUUGACGGUACUGUAAGAAUAAGGAUCGGCUAACUCCGUGCCAGCAGCCGCGGUAAUACGGAGGAUCCAAGCGUUAUCCGGAAUCAUUGGGUUUAAAGGGUCCGUAGGCGGUUUAGUAAGUCAGUGGUGAAAGCCCAUCGCUCAACGGUGGAACGGCCAUUGAUACUGCUAGACUUGAAUUAUUAGGAAGUAACUAGAAUAUGUAGUGUAGCGGUGAAAUGCUUAGAGAUUACAUGGAAUACCAAUUGCGAAGGCAGGUUACUACUAAUGGAUUGACGCUGAUGGACGAAAGCGUGGGUAGCGAACAGGAUUAGAUACCCUGGUAGUCCACGCCGUAAACGAUGGAUACUAGCUGUUGGGCGCAAGUUCAGUGGNGUAGAGAAGUAGAGUAAGUAAUCCGACCGUCGGGGUAGGUAACGGUUCGUCGAAGAAAGUAGAAACGUUAACGAAAGGAAAGUUAGGUUACGGCGUUGGAGACGUUGCCGACGGACGACCGACGAGGGGAGGUUAGG